CUACGGGAGGCUCCAGUGAGGAAUAUUGCACAAUGGGGGGAACCCUGAUGCAGCAACGCCGCGUGGAGGAUGACGCAUUUCGGUGUGUAAACUCCUUUUAUAUGUCAAGAAAAUGACGGUAGCAUAUGAAUAAGCACCGGCUAACUCCGUGCCAGCGGCCGCGGUAAUACGGAGGGUGCAAGCGUUACUCGGAAUCACUGGGCGUAAAGGACGCGUAGGCGGGUUGGAAAGUCAGGUGUGAAAUCCUACAGCUUAACUGUAGAACUGCACUUGAAACUUCUAAUCUAGAGUAUGGGAGGGGGAGAUGGAAUUAGUGGUGUAGAGGUAAAAUCCGUAGAUAUCACUAGGAAUACCUAAAGCGAAGGCGAUCUCCUGGAACAUUACUGACGCUAAGGCGUGAAAGCGUGGGGAGCAAACAGGAUUAGAUACCCUUGUAGUC
rnacentral:rRNA from 1 species